UUGUCCGCCUGAACUUUUGCUGGUCCAACUUCCUUCUUCUGAGUACUUAUUAGUGGUGUUGCCAUGUUCACAGAGCCAACGACUCCUGUCUCAGGCACUGGAGUUACAACAGCUGGCUGAUCCUGACUAUUUCCUCCUUUAGUGGCUGUUGUGCAAGCAGCCAAUGGGGAUGGCAAUGCCAUUGCAGCACUAACUCCUGCGUUCUGGUCACUGUUGAGA
rnacentral:misc_RNA from 1 species